UCUCUCCCGUCUUCCCUUUUCAUCGUCGUUUCUGCGCGUGUGGAGAGGCGUCACACCCCGUGGUGACAGGACCCGCGCCAAGUGCGCCCCCAGUUGUGCGACGCCUUCACCGCUACGCCGUAUCCUUGCUGAUUUGUUUCUCACACGCGCAUGCUCAGGUCUCUCUUAUUUUUUUUUUCUCUCUGCGAGCUUGCUCAGCCACCCCGCACACCGCGACUCCCCACCACCUCAUGCUGAAUGGCAUUGCUCGUGUUGUGCUCGUCAGCGCGACUGUGUUUGGUGAGCUGAAGGGGCAUGAUGGUGUGCUGUGCCCGAUUUAUAUGCUCGAAAGAGAAGGGCGCUGUCUCUUACCCCUCGUACGUGGCCGCAUGGGCAAGCACAGAGAGAGAGUCGCCAGUCUCCAGAGAUGAUUGCGACCAAGAGUGCACACCAAUUAGGCGGAAACAACCAUACAACUCCAACCCGGCAUCAUAGCAAGAGAAGCGGAGCACAAGAAUAUCAACGCCGCCCGCACACACGCGCGCAUGUGUGCGCCGAUGUGCUACACGAUCAGUGACCGCCUUCCACUUGGAGGUGGGCUCAAGGAGGGUUAGAAGGAUGGAGGGCCAACAAUGCGCCCACGACUCGUGAGGGGAUGAGAGGUUGGAGGGCAGGUCUUCAGGCGUCAAUGCAUGCAUUCGCGCUUCACCGUUUUCUGAAAAAAUCCUCUUUCCGCUAACGACGGGCGGACGCGCAUCUCGCAGUGCGUGGCAUCACAGGGUCCAAGUGCCCCCACACUCUGCGUCGGGGGAGGCCAGGUAGCUCCCCCUCCCCCGUCACCCCUCCCUCCAUCCCUGCCCAUGCCGAACCACUUCUGGUGGUGGCAGGGCCAGGUCGCUACGACGUUGGGGUGGGGGAGACAGAGCGAUGCACCGCCACUGAUGUCGGCGGUGAGGCCGUGGAUGGCACCGCGUUGGAGCCACCUGCGAAGCGAAUGGCGUGCGUGUGGUGUCUGGGUGAGAGGCCGUGCUCUCAGAUGGCUGGGCCGGCGCAUGGCUGCAGCGCGUGCGUCUACGGCUGCUCGGCACCGUGCGAUGGGUGCCGGUGGGGCACGUCUGCAGGGGGUAGAGCGCCGUUUGGGCUCAUGCUGUAUGACAGAGAGCGGCUACGUGGAAGAACGAAAAAAGCGGCGCACCACCAUCACCGUCUCGCCCUCCUCCCCCUCUCUUCGUCGUCUCUUCUCUGCUCACCCCGUGGCAGCGGUGGCAACGCAAUAUCAACGUGCCACCUCAGCUGCGCUACUCUUACCGCUUGCUGCGUUGUCUCACUCGCAUCUCCUCUGCCUCCCCGCCUCCGCUUCUGCUCCGCGCACUUCGCGUCUUUGUGUCUGUGUAUCUUCUGUGUUGCGAUGCCAG
rnacentral:misc_RNA from 1 species